rnacentral:rRNA from 1 species
UGAAUACGAGAUGCUACGGCGUCGAAGCAGUCUAUGUCAUACUUCCAAGAAAAGCUUGCACUGUCAUAAACAAAUAAUGCCUGUACCAUAACCGACACAGGUGGGUAGGUAGAGUAUACUAAGGGGCGCGAGAUAACUCUCUCUAAGGAACUCGGCAAAAUGACUCCGUAACUUCGGGAGAAGGAGUGCCUUAUUUAUAAGGUUGCAAUAACAAGAUCCAAGCAACUGUUUACCAAAAACACAGGUCUCCGCUAAGUCGUAAGACGAUGUAUGGGGGCUGACGCCUGCCCAGUGCCAGAAGGUUAAAGAAGUUGGUUAGCAUCCGCGAAGCUGAUAACUGAAGCCCUGGUGAACGGCGGCCGUAACAAUAACGGUCCUAAGGUAGCGAAAUUCCUUGUCGGGUAAGUUCCGACCCGCACGAAAGGCGUAAUGAUUUGGAUACUGUCUCGGAGAGGGGCUCGGUGAAAUAGACUUGUCUGUGAAGAUGCGGACUACCUGCACCAGGACAGAAAGACCCUAUGAAGCUUUACUGUAACCUGAAAUUGAAAUUGGACUUUACUUGCGCAGUAUAGGUGGGAGGCGUUGAGAAUAUUCUUGCGGGAUUAUUGGAGCCAUCAGUGAGAUACCACUCUUGUAAUGUUAGAUUUCUAACUUUGUAUCAUUAUCUGGUCAAAGAACAGUUUCAGGCGGGCAGUUUGACUGGGGCGGUCGCCUCCUAAACGGUAACGGAGGCGCACAAAGGUUUCCUCUGAACGGGUAGAAAUCGUAUCUAGAGUGUAAAGGCAUAAGGAAGCUUGACUGUGAGACCUACAAGUCGAGCAGGGACGAAAGUCGGUCUUAGUGAUCUGACGGUGCUGAGUGGAAAGGCCGUCACUCAACGGAUAAAAGUUACUCUAGGGAUAACAGGCUGAUCUCCCCCAAGAGUUCACAUCGACGGGGAGGUUUGGCACCUCGAUGUCGGCUCAUCGCAUCCUGGGGCGGUAGUACGUCCCAAGGGUUGGGCUGUUCGCCCAUGAAAGCGGUACGCGAGCUGGGUUCAGAACGUCGUGAGGCAGUUCGGUCCAUAUCCGGUGUAGGCGUUAGAAUAUUGAGAGGAGCCUUCUUUAGUACGAGAGGACCGAGAAGGACAUACCUCUGGUGUACCAGUUAUCGUGCCAACGGUAAACGCUGGGUAGCUAUGUGUGGAGUGGAUAACCGCUGAAAGCAUCUAAGUGGGAAGCCCACCUCAAGAUAAG